UUUGAUCUAUAUUUCAGAGUUUUUGUGAAUUUGUAAUUAAUCUUUAGGCUUUUGUGAGCUUUGGUUCGUGUGAGCUUCGUUUCGUGUUAGCUUUUCUUAGCUUUUUUUCGCGUGAGCUUCGUUUCAUGAAAGCUUUUGUUAGCGUCUUUCAAAUAUGAGUUGCCUGUGUGACGCAGCAGAAACUGUUAACGUCACAUGAACUUCAUGAAGACAGGAGGAAGAAUCUGUCAUGCGUCUGUGAGCAAAAGUGGAUUUUACAUUUUGAGAAGAGUGUUCAACUGAUCGAUACGGUUUUACAAUCUGAUGACAUGACAAUCCAGUGCUAAAGUCAAUCUCUGAGCAACCAGCGCUGGAUGUUGAGUUUGGAGGGUCAAGUUGUGUGUGAAGGAGCACAGCCCACCUUCAUCACCGGCCUGGCAGCGCUGUUUGCCUCCUUCUAUAAUUUCAAUUUACAGUACCAGGAAGAGGCAGCAUGCACCCUUGAGUUUGUUCAUAGAUGCUUUGUUGACAUCAAUCCUGAACGGGGAUCGAAAGCAAAAAAAAGAGAAGUUACUUCAAAGAAAACCGGCCAAAUUGUGCAAAGAAAGAACAACACUGUAAGCCCACCAGUUUCCUCACUUCUGCAAAAACUUGCAGACUUUGAAUGGAACUUUGUUUAGAUCCUGUCAGCAGGUAUAUUCAAAGUAAAUACUGCAUCGUUAACUCCAUUCAUAAAAAUACAACUGGGAUUUCAGCCAAUUUGCUGUUCUAUUUUUCUUUUUUUACUCUUUCUAGCACUUUCAA